ensembl:lncRNA
AUGUCCACGCUGGACCGUGUCCGAGGGGGCGGCCGGAGCCUGGAUCGCCGGCUGGACGCCGUGUCCGGCCAGGCCCUGCUGGCCGGGCUGCGGGCGGCCGGAGCCGUGUCCGAGCCCGAGGUGGCCGCGCUCGGACCGCCGGACAGUUGGGGCUGGGCGCGGCGACUCCGCGCUCUGGCCGCGGCCAAAGGGGACCGGACGUGCCGCGUGCUGCUGACCGUCCUGGAGGGGCUGGAGGGGCCGCCCCGGCCGGGCCCUUCGGUGAGUGACCGCUCCGACGGCCGGCCGGGGCACUGGGCACGCAGUGGUCACUCAGUGGUCACUCCGGUGGUCACUCAGUGGUCACUCCGGUGGUCAUUUUGGGUUUUUUUCCUGUUUUUCCCAAUUUUUACACCCCCAACUUCAGUGAGUGACCGCUCCAAUGUCCAGCCAUGGCCUGGGAGUGGUCAGUGCCCAGUGGUCACUCAGUGGUCACUCCAUUGGUCAUUCAGUGGUCACUCCAGUGGUCACUCAGUGGUCACUCCAUUGGUCACUCCAUUGGUAACUCCAGUGGUAACUCCAGUGGUCACUCCAUUGGUCACUCAGUGGUCACUCCAUUGGUCACUCAGUGGUCACUCCGGUGGUCACUCCAUUGGUCACUCAGCGGUCACUCCCAUGGGUCAGUGGUCACUCAGUGGUCACUCAGCGGUCACUCAUUGGUCACUCAUUGGUCACUCAGGGGUCACUCAUUGGUCACUCAGGGUCACUCAGGGUCACUCAGUGGUCACUCAGGGGUCACUCCAUUGGCUCUCCAUUGACGUCUCCAUUGGUCACUCAGUGGUCACUCCAUUGGCCAUUCCAUUGGUCACUCAGUGGUCAUUCCAUUGGUCACUCAGUGGUCACUCCAUUGGCCACUCCAUCGGUCACUCCACUGGUCACUCAGUGGUCACUCAGUGGUCACUCAGUGGUCACUCAGUGGUCACUCAGUGGUCACUCCAUUGGUCACUCAGUGGUCAUUCCAUUGAUCACUCCAUUGGUCACUCAUUGGUCACUCCAUUGGUCACUCCAUUGGUCACUCCAUGGUCACUCCAUUGGUCACUCAGUGAUCACUCAGUGGUCUCUCCAUGGUCACUCAGUGGUCACUCAGUGGUCACUCAUUGGUCACUCAGCGGUCACUCAGUGGUAACUCAGUGGUCACUCAGUGAUCACUCAGUGGUCUCUCCAUGGUCACUCAGUGGUCACUCAGCGGUCACUCAGUGGUCACUCAUUGGUCACUCAGUGGUCACUCAGUGGUCACUCAUUGGUCACUCCCAUGGGUCAGUGGUCACUCCCAUGGGUCAGUGGUCACUCAGUGGUCACUCAUUGGUCACUCAGUGGUCACUCCAUUGGUCACUCAGUGGUCACUCCCAUGGGUCAGUGGUCACUGUGGUCACUCCCAUGGGUCAGUGGUCACUGUGGUCACUCCCAUGGGUCAGUGGUCACUCAGCGGUCACUGGUGGUCACUCACUGGUCACUCAGUGGUCACUCAGUGGUCACUCAUUGGUCACUCAGCGGUCACUCAGUGGUCACUCAGUGGUCACUCAUUGGUCACUCAUUGGUCACUCAGCGGUCACUCACUGGUCACUCAGUGGUCACUUUGGGGCGUUUCCCGCAGACUUUUACGACCCGAGCGCGACGCCGCGGCCGGACACCGCUCGGACUGUCCGUGCUGCCGGCCGGAGCCCGAGUGGACGCGCCAGGAUGAUGAUGGAGAACCCAAAAUUGGUGAUGAAGGCCACAAGGAUGAUGAUGAAGAACCCAAAAUUGGGGAUGAAGAACCCAAAAACGACGAUGAAGGCCAUGAGGAUGAUGAUGAAGAACCCAAAAACGAUGAUGAAGGCCACGAGGAUGAUGAAGAACCCAAAAACGACGAUGAAGGCCACGAGGAUGAUGAAGAACCCCAAAACGAUGAUGAAGGCCACGAGGAUGAGGAUGGAGGGGAUGAAGAUUAAGGGUGGGGAAGAGGCUGAGGAGGAGGAAGAGGAGGAGGGUGGGGAGGAAGGUGAUGGAGAUGAAGAUGAUGAAGAUGAAGAAUUUUGGGUCAAAAAAGGGCCAAAAUGGACAAUUGGAUUUCCAUGA